AUACUGACCAGGCAGAAGAACUCUAAGACCAGGAAGGUGGUUUCUCCAAGGUGAGCCUCAUCCCUUGCCCUCUGACUGUGCUGAACCCUGCACUUUCCCCAGAUGUGGGCAACUUGGCAGCAUGCCUAUACUGUGGCCGUGGGGGGAUGGCAUCCCUGUUGUUCCCCA
rnacentral:snRNA from 12 species